rnacentral:rRNA from 1 species
AUUGAACGCUGGCGGCAUGCCUUACACAUGCAAGUCGAACGGCAGCGGGCCUUCGGGUGCCGGCGAGUGGCGAACGGGUGAGUAAUGCAUCGGAACGUGCCAUUGAGUGGGGGAUAACGUAGCGAAAGUUACGCUAAUACCGCAUAUUCUGUGAGCAGGAAAGCAGGGGACCGCAAGGCCUUGCGCUCUUUGAGCGGCCGAUGUCAGAUUAGCUAGUUGGUGAGGUAAAGGCUUACCAAGGCGACGAUCUGUAGCGGGUCUGAGAGGAUGAUCCGCCACACUGGAACUGAGACACGGUCCAGACUCCUACGGGAGGCAGCAGUGGGGAAUUUUGGACAAUGGGCGCAAGCCUGAUCCAGCCAUGCCGCGUGAGUGAAGAAGGCCUUC